GGCCCCUUCCCUAACGAAAGAUACACCAUUAUGGACUAUGAGGCGCUGUAUCCCUCCAUCUAUCAAGCCCCAGCGGCACUUAUGCUAUACCGCUUUAUCAUGGACCACUUACCAGAGAAUGCUGCCCAUGCUCAUACGAUUAGGGAGAUUUGCCACCUCAUUACCUACAAUUCGUAUUACGUUUUUCAAGGACGUUACUAUUUGCAAACCAGGGGAGUUCCUAUAGGGGGCCCUUUAGCAGGUGUUAUGGCAGAAUUGGUAAUUCGAUUUAAAGAGUCUGCUGUCCUAGAAUAUUAUAGGCCAUGCCUAAAAUUGUACCUA
rnacentral:lncRNA from 1 species